UACGGGGGGGGGCAAGCGUUGUCCGGAAUUAUUUGGGCGUAAAGAGCUCGUAGGCGGUGUGUCGCGUCGGCCGUGAAAACCUGCAGCUUAACUGUGGGCUUUGCGGUCGAUACGGGCAUCACUGGAGUUCGGCAGGGGAGACUGGAAUUCCUGGUGUAGCGGUGAAAUGUGUAGAGAUCGGGAGGAACACCGGUGGCGAAGGCGGGUCUCUGGGCAUCUCCUGACGCUGAG
rnacentral:rRNA from 1 species